rnacentral:rRNA from 1 species
AUUUAACGGCCACGGUAUUAUAACCGCGCGAAGGUACCGCAAUCACUUGUUUCCUAAUUAGAGACCUGUAUGAACGGCUAAUUGAGGGUACCCCUGUCUCCUAUGGCCAACCAAUGAAAUUGAUCUCCCAGUACAAAAGCUGGGAUAUAUACAUAAGACGAGAAGACCCUGUGGAGCUUAAAACACCUGCCACUACCAACGCAACUAACACCUAACACAAGGAACACACUACUGCUUUCAUAGUGCAUGUUUUCAGUUGGGGCGACUGCGGAGCAAAAAAGAACCUCCAUGAACUAAGGCUAAAACCCACUACAAGGCACACACACCAAACAGUAUCAACUAAUUUGACCCAGUACUACUGACAAUCGAACCAAGUUACCCCAGGGAUAACAGCGCCAUCCUCUUCAAGAGCCCAUAUCGCCAAGGGGGUUUACGACCUCGAUGUUGGAUCAGGACACCCCGGUGGUGAAGCCGCUACCAAAGGUUCGUUAGAUAUACGACUAACGUCCUA